GACGAACGCUGGCGGCGUGCUUAACACAUGCAAGUCGAACGGAAAGGCCCUGCUUUUGUGGGGUGCUCGAUUGGCGAACGGGUGAGUAACACGCGAGUAACCUGCCCUUGACAUUGGGAUAACUUCAGGAAACUGGGGCUAAUACCGGAUAGGAUCUCCUGCUGCACGGGGGGGGUUGGAAAGUUUCGGCGGUUGGGGAUGGACUCGCGGCUUAUCAGCUUGUUGGUGGGGUAGUGGCUUACCAAGGCUUUGACGGGUAGCCGGCCUGAGAGGGUGACCGGCCACAUUGGGACUGAGAUACGGCCCAGAAUCCUACGGGAGGCAGCAGUCGGGAAUAUUGCACAAUGGGCGGAAGCCUGAUGCAGCAACGCCGCGUGCGGGAUGACGGCCUUCGAGUUGUAAACCGCUUUCGCCUGUGACGAAGCGUGAGUGACGGUAAUGGGUAAAGAAGCACCGGCUAACUACGUG
rnacentral:rRNA from 1 species